rnacentral:lncRNA from 1 species
AGGCCCGGAGUGGAUCCCGCGCGACCGAGCAGCCACUCAGCACCGCUGUUGAGUUUCCACAUAAAUGUGACCUUGAAGACCUAGAUACAUAUUUAUCAGAAAUUCAACUGGACUUUUCCCAAAUGCUAUGGCAUGCCCAGGGAAUGGAACUGGGGAGAAAACGUAUGGAGGACUUUUCGCCCCUGCGGGCAGCUGGACCAAGUGGCCGGCGGCCAGACGGAACAGGUAGACCAGGCUGAGGGUGAAGGUGCAGGCGAUCAGCAGCAUGGACAAGAGGUUGCCUCCUGUCACCUUCUCCAUCGCCUGGCCCAGCACCGACCCACCCCGCCUGCAGCAAGCCCAGCAACAUCAUCCCCGCCGCUGCCGCCAUUUCACUUCAUUGGAGACACUGAAGGCCGAGGUCGCCACCACUCCUCCUAAUCGACGGAGCGAGAGAAGCUGGCGGAUGGUUGUCCACAGGCGGCUCCGGCCCCCAGGUCUCCUACUAAACGACAACAGUCAUUAUGGAAGCCUUUUUUUUUUUUCAAGUAAUAUUAAGUGCUUGAGUAUGUAUCAAAGAAGCCUUGACUGUUAAUUGUCACUCUAUUGGGCACUGUGGAGUAAAAGCAAUUCUAAAACCAACUACAUGGAAACCAUCAAGACCUGUCACUCCCGUUUCUCCACAGCUAUUGUUGCUCCUCACAGGUUCCCACUCCAGCCUUCUUCCUUCAAAGACCCUGAGAGAAGAAAUAAAAAAUAAAAGCAAGUGUGCAAGGAGCAGUGGCCAUUCACCAGACGUGAUCUCCCUGGCCGUGUUUCUGAAACGUAGAUCAAGAGGUGUAUUCUUCGGGAAAGGGGUCUCCAGGAUUUUGAAAUUUUAUAUUUUCAUUUAAAUGACCUAUAAAUUUUAAUGUUAGCAUAUUAUGAAUUGUUUUGUAAUCAAGUACUGACAUUUUAUUUGUGUUUAUAUUUGUAUUUCUGCUUAUGAUCACAUUGGCUGCAAGCAGCCGUACCUAAAUGAUGUCAGACUAAUGAGAAAAGAAGUGGACUAAAUAUGUAAAUGAUACGCCCAAACUAAGUGAAGACCAAACAAUGUCAUAUCAUGCUGUUCAAGAGAAGUUUCCAUCGUAUUUCAAUAAGAGGUAUGGUUGGGAGACUGAAGUCAUUGCCUUACACACAAAUAGACAUACUGAACUCAGAAGAACACAUACUGUGCUGGGCAGUGCCAUGGUCAAAUGGCAAAAGCCAAAGUGGAAUAGAGUAGCUAUGAGAUUUUGUUGGUUUCAAG